rnacentral:rRNA from 1 species
UAAGGAAUAUUGGACAAUGGGCGGAAGCCUGAUCCAGCCAUCCCGCGUGCAGGAUGAAGGCCCUAUGGGUUGUAAACUGCUUUUAUUGGGGAAGAAACCUGUUCAUUUAUGAGCAGCUGACGGUACCCAAGGAAUAAGCACCGGCUAACUCCGUGCCAGCAGCCGCGGUAAUACGGAGGGUGCAAGCGUUAUCCGGAAUCACUGGGUUUAAAGGGUGCGUAGGCGGCCUGUCAAGUCAGGGGUGAAAUGUCGUCGCUUAACGAUGAAAUUGCCUUUGAUACUGUCGGGCUUGAAACAGGUUGAGGUUGGCGGAAUGUGGCAUGUAGCGGUGAAAUGCAUAGAUAUGCCAUAGAACACCGAUUGCGAAGGCAGCUGGCUGGACCUGGAUUGACGCUGAGGCACGAAAGCGUGGGGAUCAAACAGG